rnacentral:rRNA from 1 species
AAAUUGAAGAGUUUGAUCAUGGCUCAGAUUGAACGCUGGCGGCAGGCCUAACACAUGCAAGUCGAACGGUAACAGGAAACAGCUUGCUGUUUCGCUGACGAGUGGCGGACGGGUGGGUAAUGUCUGGGAAACUGCCCGAUGGAGGGGGAUAACUACUGGAAACGGUAGCUAAUACCGCAUAACGUCGCAAGACCAAAGAGGGGGACCUUCGGGCCUCUUGCCAU